rnacentral:rRNA from 1 species
UACGUAGGGUGCAAGCGUUAAUCGGAAUUACUGGGCGUAAAGCGUGCGCAGGCGGUUAUGCAAGACAGAGGUGAAAUCCCCGGGCUCAACCUGGGAACUGCCUUUGUGACUGCAUGGCUAGAGUACGGUAGAGGGGGAUGGAAUUCCGCGUGUAGCAGUGAAAUGCGUAGAUAUGCGGAGGAACACCGAUGGCGAAGGCAAUCCCCUGGACCUGUACUGACGCUCAUGCACGAAAGCGUGGGGAGCAAACAG